AUCUAUAUAAAUAUCAGUAGUAACACUGCAGCAAUAUUUAUGGAGUCAACUCUAUAACAGUGGUAACACUCGUUGAACGGAAAGAACAUGUAGAGUCAUCACGUCUAAAGCUGGUUGAUAUCUAGAAAAGGGAAAAAAUGGAGACCCCCUUUGGCCCCUACUCUUGUUGCGUUGUAGCUAAAUAGCACUUUACGACCACGUUGUUCAAAGUGUAACACUUUGCCACCCCAUGGUUGCAUUUGAGUUUCCUUUAGGAGCAUCAGGGAUUGUGAAAUUGCCAUAAAAACUAGGCUUGUGACCAUUACGUGACUUAUUUGACUACUAAAAAUCACGAGAAUCAAUGAGACUAAAGGAAUUAAAUCUUUAUAUACAGCAUUUUAAUGCUCACAUAAUUGCACCAAGUUCGGCAUUUUGACAACAGUUCGUUACAGAAAGCCAGGACGGGCCGAAGGUUGCUAAACAAAAAUUGGGCUAUAACGCAAUGGGUGUUUAUAAAGUUUCCCGUCCAUAAACAUUUAAAUGAAGAAAAAAAAAUCAAACUAACCUGAAAAGCACGAUGAAACCAUAUGACUCCAAAAUCAUGCCAAAUACUGGCCAUCCAAUCAGGACCAGAAAAAAGCCAACUCCAAAUGAGAUAGUACCCUGUUCAAAAUCAGCAAACCCUUAAAAAAGUACCCACAGGGAACAAAGGAAACUAUUAGAUCGACUUAUGCAGACAAGCAAACCUUGUAGUUCUUACGCUUGGUGAAGAAUUGCAUGGUGGAUUUCAGCCCUAUGGUCAGCAUCACACCUGACAGGAAAAGGAUCUGAUGUGGUCCAAACAAAACAAAACAAUGCAUAUCAUAUUCAUUUCCUCAGUAAAGCCACCAGAGAACAAGUUGUUAAGGGAUAGCUUACAUUUCCCAUGGCUAGGAGACCCUUAUCAAAGAAGAACAUGAUCCCCAAGAAUGAGAAGAAUAUUCCAAAUCCUGUCAAACCUAGCCCAAUCUCUGGUCCAGACGAAUUUUGACAUAUUAGUGAUAGUUGCCAAUGAAAUUGAAACAUUAAUGAAAAUGUGACACCCCAAUAGUCCCACAUCGGAUGAAAAUGGACUUAUGAUUAGGUAUAUAAGAGAUCAUGGACGCUAGUAAUAAUAACUGAGCUUAAGCAUUUUGGACCGGUGGUUUGGGCCCAACGAGUUAUUGUUGCUAUUGGGCCGGGUCAUCACCGAAAACAAGAUAAUUACUUUAACAUUAUCAUCAUAUAAUUUCUGUAUCUAAUGCUGCAUUAAUGGUUUUGAACCCUAUGUGAGCCAAGUCACAAAAUAAUGGAGAACAAUAAAAUAUUUGCGCUAAACAGUUCAUGAGCACAUUAAUUUAUCAGCAAGAUGGACAACAGGAUUAAAGUAGGAUUGAAAGGUAUAAAAUUAAUAAGAGUAGUCGCUCAAAAAGUCAAAAAGAAAAGCCUUAGUACUCUAUCCAUCUCAACUAGAGAAACUAGAAAAGGUUGAAAAAAAUGUUCAAAUGUUUAAAAAGAGCAUACUGCAUCCAUCCUGAAUAUUAUGAUUAACAGAAAAUACUAUUAAAUAUUUCAUAACAUGCAUUAGACAUAGAACUCAUACUUUUCCGAUCAUUCAUCUCAAAUGAAACCAUUGUGCCAAGCUAGAGACAAACUAAGAAGCCAGUGAGCAACAAGACAACCUGCAAGAAAGAAAAGUUUGUGUCAAGUCUAUUUAUUUUAAAUCCAGAAGAGUUCUAAAUUCUGAAAUCAGAAGUAUAAGCAACUUCAUGGAUAGAUAUGUAAAUAGUUGUCAAGACACAUUAGAAUGCAGGUUCUAAAUGGACUUUUUUCGAAAAUAACCCUGUAAAAUUUCGUAUUUGCCAAACUAACCCUGUGAAAUUUUUAUUUGUGAAACUAACCCUCCUCUCGCCACGUGAGCGCCACGUCAGGGAUUCCUCAAAAAGACGGUGAAUCGUUCACCGUCUUUGAUAUUUGUUGUGAAGGCGGUGAAUGGUUCACCGUCUUCAUAAGACGGUAAACCAUUCACCGUCUUUAGUACAAAUCCCUACACUGUGCAAAUCUUUCCAAGUCCAUCCAUAAUAUGGUGUCCUUGAUAAGACGGUGAAUCGUUCCCCGUCUUCUCGAGGGCACAGAAAAGGCGGACUUGAGAGGGUGGAGAGGGUGGAAAGGGAAAGGACGGAAAUGGGAAUUUUGCACUAAAGGCGGUGAAUGAUUUACCGUCUUCUAAAGACGGUGAACCAUUCGCCGCUUUUAAACAAAAAUUACAAAGACGGUAAAUGAUUCACCGUCUUUUUGAGGAAUCUCUGACGUGGCGCCCACGUGGCGAAAGGAGGGUUAGUUUUACAAAUAAAAAUUUCACGGGGUUAGUUUGGCAAAUACGAACUUUCACAGGGUUAUUUUCGAAAAAAGUCCGUUCUAAAUUAUUAAUGAACUAUCAUGAACUUACAAAGUACUUACGCAGUAAUAUCACGGAUUAUAUCUUACAGCUUAGUCACAUAUUUGAUAUUCACUUUUCAUCUACCAACUAUUUAGGAUGAUAGUUACCCUCAUUGGUAGAACAAAUUUUGGCAACUCAGUGCACCGACAGAUAAAAAGCACUUGCUGGUAAGUAGAGGAGAUCUUAGUAGCAGGCCUCCUUAAACUGAAGGAGAUCUUAGCAGCAGGCAUCGCAAUGCACCUACAGAUAAAACUUUCCUACUUAGGAACUUUUAUAAGUCCAACAACUCCUACUAUCUCUUCUUAAGCAAUUUCCAAUUUAAGAUGAUACAAUUUAUGCAGUCCUGAUAUGGUCUUAACAACCUAACAUCUCAACCAAGAACCACUCGUGCACCACUCUAACAAAUGAAUUAGUUCUCAUUGUUCUAGUGAAAAAACCUACAGUAACUGCAACUUGUCUCUAGUUCUUUUUCCCCAUUCCCAGGCUUGUAUAAAGUAUAUAUUUAUCUUUCAACUCUAACUAGUUCGAUUUGCAUUUUCAACUCUUAACUCUUCUUGUGUUAUAUUACUUCUUUCUCUCUGUUUCUAACUUUUUUUUAUUUUGGUGGUUCUAAUAGAGAUGAAUGUACGCAAUAUUAAACUACUAAUCUCAGUAAUCUGGUGGACAGGAAGAAUCUAUUGCUGCCGAUUUCUUGGUCUUCAUACUUUUUCCUUCAUUUACUUCUGCUUAACACAAACAAAGAUAAAUUGAUAACGAUUUCAAUGUUAUAACUUCUCCAACUUAAACAUUAGCUUUGCCACCUCGAAUUAGCCGAUGUAGAAGUUUCUUUCCCCUUUUUUUGUUUAUUGAAUCUUGCUUCUCUUCUCUCCCCUUCUACAUCUCGAAUCGAUAAUUAAGUAGAAUGUACUCAACAUCUAGUUACAUCAAAAUAUGUAUGCUGUUCUCAUAAUUCACAUUUCAAAGACGAAUUCAAUUAUCUGGAUAAUCACCCCAAUUAUCUCAUCUCAAGACCUUGGAAUAUCCAAUCCCUUACUGGAAAAAUUUUGGAUCCCCUGAAAUCACUCCAAUUAUAUAAUCUCAAACACAUGUCUAGGUUCUUCAAACGUAACCAACUGAAAAAUGUAACACACACUACAUCAAGUGAUAUCUCAUUCAUAUGGUUCAACAAUUUUAAAUAUACACUAACAAGGGUUUCUCAGAUCAAGAAUGCUCCAAGAAACAUGUAGAUCAACAAUUCAAUUGAUUACGUAAUGUGAGCAGUGAUUUUAUUGGGAUCAGAAACUUGAGAAGUGAAUCAUCGAAUCAAUUAACAUACUACACCUCAAGGCUAAUUAAUUUUCUCCCUAAAUAUGAUCUUCUCAUCAUUCAAAACCAAAAGAAUUCGAUCUAAACAAAUCAAAAACUCGAAUAUACCAAAACAAAUCACCAAAUCACGAAGCCCUCGGAUCCUUCAAGCAGGUCAUAUGAAUCAUUAAAAAGAACGUCAAAAGAGGAACUACGAUCAACUGCAUCAGUAAUCAAACCCUAUUUAUCGAAGCUUCGGAUCGAGAUAGAGAUCGAGCGAUCGAGAGAUCGAAAUAGAGAGAGAGAGAGAAGAACCGGAUUGGAUCGACAGUGAUGGGGGUUCGGAUCGGAGGAUCGGACGGUGGAGAACGGCGGUUUACGGGAUCGCUCCGUCACCGGAGAAGGGAUGUUAGGGUUGGGGCGCACGUGGAGCGGUGGUGCCGAUGACUCCGACUCAGUGACAGAUCAGAGAAGGGAAGGGGUGGGAAAUUAUAUUAAUUUUAUUUUCAUUAAAAUGGAUUUUUUUUCUUUUUUUUUUCCUUUUUUUUGUGAGCAAAUUAUACAGUGUAGUAACUGAAUGUAGAAAGAGGAGAACGUGAUGAAUCACAGACCACAAACUCGAGUGUCGAGUGAAUCUCGACCGUCCACUCCAUGCACUCUAGCUCAAAUUUUGUUUAUCGAACAAACUCUUCACUUAACUCUUCCAAAUUUUUGCCCCAAUAUUUUACUGAAAAAAAUUAUUUAUUAUUAAAAAUAUGUGUAUUAUUUGGUAUAGAGAAAUGUUAUUUGUUGUUCAUUUAUUGUCUCUCAUUCUAGAAUUUAUAAUUUUUUAAAUUUUUAGUAUUUUAAAAAAAUUAAUAAGGCUAAAGAAAAAAAUAAUUUUUAGAUGGAACAAAACUUCAAUGAGGAGCUCCGCAACAACGCCUGAUUAGAAAGGCUCGAUCUAGUACGACGACGUGUGUCAAUUUUAUUUUCAUGCAUGAAUUAAUUGAAUAUUUUUUCCUAAUAAAAUUUCAACAAAAAUUUAAAUUAUAAAAAAAAAAUUAUAAUUCUUGAAUAGAGCCAAAAUUGACGGGCUGGUAGAGUUUUUAUAAUUAAUAAUUUUUUCCGUGAUCGUUCAACUAACUUUGAAGUACAUAAAAGACUCAAUUCAAUAAUCAGUAAUUAAUAUAUUAUAUUAAGAUUAGAUGUCAGGCCUUUGGAAUCAUGGUGCAGAGUGCAAACUAUAUUUUGCUUAUAACCAAUAAACUACUGCAGUUGAAAGGUGAAACUGUAUGGAAACCCCUUAAGUUUAGACUAUUUUGAAACUAGUGCCGUAGCUGUGUAGCUUUCGUUGAUUAAGAUAUCUUAAAAAAUUUAAUUUAAAUAAAUUAUUAAGUUAAAAAUAGUGCAUAAUUCAGAUAAGCGGUGUACACUUUUACCUGCAUUUCUGCAAAUCUCUUUCAAACCUCUGCUACAAAGUACAAUCGAUUAUAUCAAUAACUGUGUUCGUUCGUUCAUUCAACAAACCACCCGUGCAAAACAAGGGGAAAAAAAUAUUUACAACACCAACCGCUACACAAUCUCAAGGUACAAAAUCAAUCAUCAUCAUGAACUCACCGCUUCUGUUGCUGUUGCGUCGACGAGAUGCAGCUCCACCUCCUCCCUCCACUCCACCCACCGGCUCUCGUAGUACCCGCUCUUAACUUCGUUCGGAAAGUNACCCGCCACGUCACCGCCCCCUCCCCGACCCCCGCCUCGUCACCCGCCGCCACCACCGCUCCCGCCUUGGUCAGCGCCCGCCCGGGCCCACCGCACCGCCGUCGCAUCCCGGCGCGUGGGUCCCCACCGGGGCCAGCCCCCGGCGUCCACGUGGCAACCUCGGCCCCGGUGGCGAAGUCGCAGAGGACGCCCUCGAAGACCGCGGCGGCGCCCUCGGCGUCCUGGUCCCACCGCCAGCUGCGCCCGCGCGUGCGCGCCGCCGCGCGGGCCUUCGCCUUCACCCCCGCCGCGCGCUUGGUGGGGCCGCCGCCGCUCGCGAAGCUGCCCUUCACGGUGCGGGUCGUCUCCACCUCGCGCUCCGGGUUCCCGGUCGACCGGCCCAGGCUCGGCCCGGUCGCGUAGGCCGCGCCCGGCUCGGGCCCGACCCAGACCCGGAUCCGCGACGGGAAGUGGCGCUCCCCGUCCACGUCGUCGUCGUCGUCGUCGGUUUCCUCCUCGUCGUCGUCGUCGUCGUCGGUUUCCUCCUCCUCGUCCUCCUCGCGGUGGUCGUGGUCCCCUCGCGUGCCGCAGCCGAGGCGCGCCACGUGGACGCGUAUGUUGACGACGCGUACCCCGACGAGGAUGAAGCGCGGGUCGCGCAUGGAGACGGAGUACUCGAGCUGGACCGCGGCCUCGAGCUGCUGGUGCGCCAGCGCGUACCGCAGCGCCGCGUCCUUCGCGUCGUGCGGCGGCGCCGCCUCCUCCGCGGUGGAGCAGCCGCGGACGCGGGCCAUGGCGGGGACGGGGGCGAAGCCCCUGAGGAGCCAGAGCCCGUGGGCCUCCGCGGCGUAGGCGAAGCAGCAGCAGCCGCGGCGGCGGCGGCGGCGGGGUCGCGCGGGGGGUAAGGGUAAGGGUGAGGGCGAUGAGGGCGAGGGUGAGUCCCCCUCCCCCUCCCCCUCCUCCUCCCCCAAUCCGAAUUGGAGGCGGCGGAGGAGGCACCACUUGGCGAGCAUGUAGCCGAGGGAGCGGGCGCAGCGCUCCUCGAGGUCGGGGCCCGCGGCGCGGAGGAAGGCGCCGAGGGCGCGGGCGCAGCGGCGCGGGGCGCGCUCCAGGGAGGGGCCGAGCGCGCGGAAGAAGAGGAAGCCCGCGUCGGCGGGGGCGUCCGCGGCGCAGAGCCAGAAGAGGCGCAGCAGGAGCGCCAGCUCCAUAAAGGCCGCGCCCUGCUCCCGCGCAGCGUCGAGCGCCUUCGACACGGGCUCGGCGGCGAGCCCGACGGAGGGGGCGGUGGUCGAGGGGGAGAGGGAGAUGGAUUCGGCGAGGAGCUGGUGGAGGAGGAGGAGGAGGAGAUGAGAGGAGAGAGCGGAGGGGCGGAGAGCCAUAGAGUCGGUGGCGGAGUGAGGACGGAGAGGAGGAAAGGUGAGGAGGGGUCGCAUGGGCGGUGCGGUCGGCGAGAGGAGGAUGGAGUGGUGGUCGGAGGCGGCGAGACGAGGGACGCGGGCACGAGGGGAGAUACGAGGGCAGCGAGGCAUCCACGACCACACCUCCUCCAUUUCUCGACAGAUUUUUUUUUUUUUUUUUUUUUUUUUGUGUGCGUUAAGGAGCGCGCGGGAGGAUAAAGCUCUAACUUAUUAUACAAAAAACAAACCCACCGACGCCUAGGGAGGGGAAUGGUUUGGUUUCGGCCACACGAGGGUCUUACUCUUAUGAUUGCUAGCUAUCCUUUGGAAUGGUGCUUUAAGAUUCGGGAGUUUCUGUUCAAUUCUAUUCCACGGUGGGGGAUUUCACUUGUUCCUAAUAAAAGGAUUAGGACGUAUAACGACUCAGUAUAACUUCAAUUGUAUUUUAUCGAAUAACACUAUAUCACUAUAUCGUACAGCUUUAGAGCCAAAGUGGCUUGCUUCUUCCCAUCAUCUCCGUCAACGACUCUGACGCCGAGAAGCGUAAGGCUGUGGCGGCUCAUGACUUGAUCUUGGCUUUCCUAAAUUGGUCGAUCGCAACGGAGGAGAAAGAGUUGUGAGAGAUUUACUCCCUAAUUUCGUCCAUUUGUUUAGUUUUAGAUGAUUAUUUAAUCAUACUUAGGCUUAUUCUUUGACUUGACCGGGUUGUUGUAACUUGAAACCUCCGCUCAAUAGACUCAAUGAUAAGAAGUAGAUAGUUAAUUAAAGGCGCGGGAUCCUUGAUCAUUUCCAGCGACCAGAUAACUAAAACGCUGACUUUUUGUUCCUUGGGGAGGUAUUUAGCUAGUUUUGACCCAAUGGGAAUUUCUAUACAAGUUCGACUUAAGUAGAUGUGAAGCAGCACUACUGAGACAUAGCAUUUUGCUUUCGCUUUCAAUUACAAUCUUUUUUACAUGAUAAUUUUGACAAUAGAACAAAUUCAUUUGGUACUCGUGAUUCUACUGCAGAGAAUAGCUGCUGUUGCCGCUUCUUCUACUGGCGUUAUUCGAACAGUAGUAUAUCAUUCAACUUGGUCAAAAAACCUUGAAUCCAAUUGCAUUUAGAACAAAACUUUUUUAAAAAGUAUUUAAUAAUACUUUGUGGAUGUAUUCAAGCAUUUGGCUACAAUCUUCUCUCCUCUCAGCAUUUAAAAACGGUGAUGAUGCAAAACAAGGCCAUAAUAAAUUAAUUAUUUCAAGAGUAAAUUUCAUGUUUGGUCUUCAAAUUAUAAUCCUUAAAAGUUUAAUUUAUUGUAAUUUUCGAUUCAAACUUUAAGAAUUAUUACAAUUAAAUUCUAUAAUCCAAUUUAAUUGAUUUAAUAUUAAUAUAUUGUUAAUACAAAAGUAAUGUAUUAAUGCUGUGAUUGAUGAUAUGCUAAUAAUUAAAAUACUAUAUCACUUUACAACAAUGGUGCGUCAAUAUUUAGUAAACUAAAUUGGACUAUAGGACUUGAUUGCAAUAAUUCUAAAAAUUCAAGUAAAAAAUUACAAUAAAUUAAAAUUUGAGAGCCAAAGUGCUACCUAUCUCACAGCAUAAGGACCAAACAUACAAUUUAUCCUUAUUUCAAUUAAAAUCAUUCUAUGUAGAGAAAUAUUGGGACACAAUUAAAUUCCAAGUACCACUUUCCACAAACAUGCAGAUCACAAUAAUCAAGAAGGCACCACAGUUUGAACCAUGUUUUAUCUUUUGUCAGAGAAAAUCCGACGUUCUCAUUGUAACAAAGAGUCGCUCAUUCAACAGUUGAAACUUCACUUACUAUGGCAAUUUCUAAUCUAAUCUUAAAUUAGGGAAAACAUUUCUCUAAAUGAGGGGGGUGGGGGAUCUUAAAUGGUGCAUCAUAUCUCAAAUUGCACCUAAAGGCCAUGUAUUCAAGCACUUCAGAUCUUUACUUAACCUAUAAAUGUUGCCGCAGGAAAAUGCAAAGGUAGCAACCUUUCCUCCAUAAUGCAAUCUUCUGAGCGCAUUGUGAUUGCUAGACCACAAAAGAACUUCAUGAAGCUCCCCUUUCUUCCAGCAGAUGUUCACAGUUACUCCGCCUCUCGCCUUCAAUCCUUCAACACAACCGGAAGGCCACUUAUCACGAGGGAGAGCCGGGAGUAAGUAGAGGUCACGCUGGGUGCUUUGGACUAGUAUUUCAGCAAUUGCCGCAGUGAAACUGAGAGAAAAGAAAAUGAGAAAUCGCGAGAAGUGUCCCUCUGGGACUUCUACAGAAGAAUUAUUUAAGUAAAAUUAUUCAACUAACAACUUCUUCACUAAAGUACCAGCCAACAGCUAUGCUGCAGUUAAAGCAGAAAAUACAAAUCGGAGAUUCUGCCUUUUGGGGCUAGAAGCCCGUUUCAACUUCUCGUUAUAACAAAAGCUUCACACUUUUCAUUUGCCAAAUAUGGUGCUUACUAAUUCUCAAAGUAGAGAAGCUGCUGCAGAAACCAAGCCAAAUAGACACGCGGUCCUGUUUCGAUCCAUUACCGUCUUUUUCAAUAUAUUCCUUUAAUUGAUUUAGAAGCAUGUAAUAUUUGGUAGAUGAUGAGUAUGAUCACACAUCCAUAAUGGAUAUUAUAUUCAGCCUUCAAAUUAUUUUUUUCUGAAAUAAGAUAAAUCACCUUGUAGGCAAAAUAUACUAUCUUACCAAAUUAUAUAUGCCAAAACCUUUCCAGAAAUAAAAUUCAAAUUCCUGCCUUUCAAUUGCACAAGAAAAACUUUAUACAAAAUAAACUAUCAUUGAAUAUGUUAUUCCGACAUCCAAAUAGGGGCCUAAGAGUUUUCUUCUAAGAUAGCAAAACUGACAUAUAUCUUAGACACAAUCAGAUUUUACAGUUAACCUAUCCAAAUUGAGACAUUGAUUCAUACCCGAAAUUGGCAUCUAUUUGAAAUGGAGGAUGUGCGGUGAACAAGUUGCUAUACACUCCUCCUUCAAAGGCAGUUUCAUUGUCAGGAUCUACCAAGUUGAUCAGCUGGAAAAUCAUUUUGUAAGCAUGCUCGCUGUUAUGAAGGCGAGCCCACAAAGCCAUCUUCCAUGUAGUUGACCAUCCCGGACCGACAUCACCUAACAAAGUGACAAUUAUAUAAAAGUAAAAAAAGGAAAGAAAAUUAGUCCACACAUUGCUAAAAUUGUAAGGUCUGGAGUACCUCUUUUGUAAAGGCUGUUAGCAGCUGCUUUGCAGAGAUCAGGAGUUUUCUCAACCGUAAUAGUAUGACCUGGAAAAAGACCAAAAAGGUGCGACAGAUGCCUAUGAUGGAUAUCUGGGUCCUCAAAAUCCUGCGCCUGUGUGCAUUGAAUGAAAUUUAGACACUAGGAACACUUAAAACAUGUCAAAGCAACCAGAAAAUAAAACAAAAUAAAAUUAGAAGUCAACUAACCCACUCCAUGAUUGAACCAUCUCUAGCAAUUUUUGUUGGAGGGAGCCUAGGCAAGGCCUUCUCGAUACGGUCAAUUAAUUCAGUAUCGGUUUUCCCAAGAACCUAAAACAACAAUUAGAGAAGAGAGCCUUAAUCUCCAAGCUCAUUAAACUAAAAAAAUAGAUAGCACUAGCAUCACAAGACACUGAAACAGAUUAGUCGGUAUGAUUUCUCACACCAAUAGCACCUCUUUAUGAAAAUUUUCAUGUGGAAGUAGUCACCUCAGCAGACGAAAUAACGGCAGAGAAAACUUCCCGUAUGAUUGCAAUGUCCAUAGUUGUUGAAUAGCUGACACUUGCCAUCUUACCAUCAGGAGCGAUAAAAGAAUGUUCGGGCGAAGUAGAAGGAUUAGUUUCCAAGUACCCUCCAUGUCCUUCAAUUAACCAGUCUAACAGAAAAGUUGCACAUCCUUCCAAAAGUGGGUAUGCUGUAUUCUCCAGAAAAACCUAAAUAAAAGUGAGAAAAUCGUAAGCUUUGUGGGUCAAAUUAUACCUACUUGAAGAAAAAAUGUUAGAAAAUAAAUAAAUGAAACAUGAUCAAUAUACUAAAUUAUGAACAAAUAGGAUAAAUGAUAUAUAAUGCAUGCCAAAUUUGCGCCUGUAAUGAGACACAGGGCUUACUUUGUCCAUUGUGAAAGUAUAAUGCUCCCACAGAUGUGUACUGAGCCAAGCCCCGCCCAUUGGCCAUAAAGCCCACACAGGGUCACCACGGUCGGGCGAUGAUUUUGCCCAUAUGUCCGUUACUUGAUGAGCUACCCAACCACUUGCUUCAUAAUUGACCUGAACCGUAAAAUUAAAUUUUGAUAAAGCAAUAUGAAAGCUAGUAAUUAUCUGCAAAAGGGAGAAACUGAUUAUUGGAGAGAUAAAUAGGGGAACAUAUGCCUUGUAAGACUUGAAUAGUGUAAAUAAUGUGGAUCUUCUGUUAUGAUUACAUGCAACAGCAAGUCCAAAAUGGUGCAGGAAAUGUUCUCAUCCACAUGCCUAUCAAUAUGUAACAGGAAGCCAAGAAAUUGCAUGAAAUAUUCACAAAACUCCACUUAAAAUUUUCUCUAAUUAAAAAAAAAAUCCGAAAAAUGGCAUGCUCAUAUACAGCAUAUUUCCAAUUGUCAAGGAAGUUUCUAUUCAUACUGUUUAUAACACAGGAAAUUGGACAAAUGAAGCAUUAUCACGAUUCCACCUAAGUAACACUAAAAACGCAAGUCAACAUUACCAGCCAAAGUAUCAUGCCUUCAAUAUUCUUAGACAACGCAAUAAACCUCAAGGCAAUGUAUACACCACUAAAUGAAGAAUAGUUUGCUAUUCAAUCCUUACUCAUCUCACAAAAUAUGGGUUGCUCCUGAAGCAUUGUUUUAUUCAACUCAUCUAUUGUAGAUAAGGACUAGAUUGGGAAUGCUUUGUCCAUAGCAGUCCCUUCAAGUUCCCUGAAGUUCCAUGGAUCCAUUUUGGGACUUAGAACUUCAAUGGAUGCAAAGUUUGAGAAACGUAAAAACGACUAUCAAGUAUUUAAUAUUUCUAUAUUUCCUUUCCUGUCAAGCAUGGCUGAUUUUUCUAUUAUGCCAUAUAGCUUUAAAUCAAGGAUAGCAAUCUUACUUUUGCUGUCUUGCUACCAUUGAUCGCAAGAGAUUCAAUAAAAUCAAACAGUGGUUCUUCGCACUCACGAAGAUUGCAAGGAAGCGAUGGCCAGUAAUUCAUUUGCAGAUUGAUGUUCAGGUGAGGAGCUGCACUGGAAACAAACAGCAAAAGUAAAAUUUCUAUGUCAAACAGUACAUAGCUAUGAAAUCUUCAUCUCAUUUUCCAAGCCAUAGAACUCAUUUUGGAUGCAGGACAAAUCCAAAAAUUAAGCACCAAUGAUCAAAAUCAUGAUGGCUCGUACAUUGAUGGAUGUCUCUUUUAUUGCCCACUUGCAUUAUAUGCUAUAAUUGAGUUACUUACGGUGUGUGUCACUUGAUCAUACUUCUCUUAUUAAUCAAAACUAACUAAAUAAAGAUUCUCAGCUACAAUAGUCAAAAUCAUAACCACUAUUUCUGGAAAAGCAGAUAACCUACAUUUUUAGCACAGGUUCUGGUGUGUUAAGCAAUACAUGGUUAAUUUUAUAGGAAGCAGCGAAUCACAUACAUGCAAUCACUGUUCCGAAAGUACAAGUUCCUAACAAAUGACCUAACAAUUAGGAAAAAGAUCCACCAGUUUGACGUAUUAAAAGUCAAAUUGAGUUUUCCAGGGUUUUAUUGUAAACUUUUAUAGGUUGUACCUUUGGUUCAUAACUUCAUAUAUAUCUAAAUAGCAAUAUAAAAAUUUUGAAAGGUCCGUAAGUUGUCAAAUGCUUCAUGGAGAAGUUCGAUGAAUUAAUAUUAACCUCUAAUGCUUUCGAUUGAGGAUAUAAUAAGCACCUGGAAAUCUAUUGCAAAAAGAUAUAAGCCUCAUAGCAAUGAGAAAAUAAAAUUAACACAGCAAAAGUAUGAAUAAGAAAUAUUGGGAAUAAAUAUUUGCAUUCAACUCCUUGGUUGUGAAAUAAUACAAGCUUUUUAUAUAAACAACGAAGAUAUUUCCUCAUAAGUUAAAAGACAAGCGAUAAAAUAAAAACUGGCUAAGGUAAUAUAGUUGAGGUAAAAUCUUACUCCCAUGCUGGCUCAAUGUCCUUAUUCCAUAUUCCUUGCAAGUUGGCAACCUGAGUUCCAGGCCUAGAACAAGAUAUUAGCAGGUACCGCCCAUAAUGGAAUAACAGCUCUACCAAAGUGGGAUCCUCAUCAUUUUUAAAAGAUUUCACUCUUUCCGCAGUUGACUUGAUGGCAUCACUCAUUAUUCGGACCGAAGAAUCAGUACUUUGUGAUUCUGUGGAGUCUUUUGACAGUUUCAAAGUAACAUGUUGAAAAAGACUCUGAUAAUCAUCCAAAUGAUAAGAAAUUAGCUGAGAAAAUGACAUAUUCUUGAUUGGAUUUAAUAACUUCACGGCUUCUGAAGUAGGGUCCACUUUAGAAUCAGAAGGCUUAACGAAUGGCCCUUGGAAUGAAGAAGCAGCUGUGAGAAGCAUAACAACCCAGUCGGCACCAUCAACUUUUAUUUUCCUAUCGUCAACAAUUUGUGCUGUGUAAUCAUCACCACCUAUCUGCAAAUUGAGAAUUGCUGAGAACUUAAUUCCGCUUGGACUUUCAGAGGCAUUUUCUUUCGGUGGAAUUCUCUUCCCUGGGCAGCUACCUUCCAUGAUGAUUUGAUUUGAAGUGUUUGCAGCAGAAUGAUGAUGCAAUAGGCUGUCUAAGGAUACUGUGAAGGAGAGGCAGCCCGAUUUACUUGCAGAAAUCUUGGUCACGAGCACUUGAUGCGGGUUUGAGGAGAAGUGUUCCCUCGUGUAUUCUACAUUCCCAACAGCGUAUUGGACAGUCACAGUCGCAGUAGUCAGAUCGAGUUCUCUUUCAUAACCAGUAUAUGUGUCAUUCGCAUUGCCAAACUCUAUAUUAAUAUCACCAAGAGGUUGGUAGACCUUCAUUUGAACCCAAUUAGUGUUAGAUUUAAAUCUUAUCUUGCCAAAAGUUAAGCACAAGUGUGCACAAGUAGAAGAGAAAACAGCUAAAUUUUUCUGUUGACAACAUGUCAUGUGCAAGAAAUGCAGUGUUAACAAUUGAACAAAAUAAACGGUACAUAUCCUAAAGACAUUCAGAAAUAAAUGGAGAUAUAUUCUCUUUAGACUAGGAAAAUUUGAAAAAUAAAGUGCAUUACUACAUAGCACCUCCAAAUGUAAAUUUAUGAAGAAUUAGGAGACAAAAAAAAAAUUCAGCUCCCUUCGACAGAAAGAACUAUCAUGACCUUAAUAUAACCAAGGAAGCUAAGUACCUAACAGAGUAUUGCAUAACUUAGUGGAGAAAUAAUUGAAGUUCUAAUAGAAGCCAACAAAUCGAAUUAUCAUGUAUGGCGUAAUUUAAAAGGAUGCAUCAAGUCAAUCUUAAUACUAGAAAAUGGCCUCUAAAAUACUCAGCAGCAUUCAAGCAAGCUAGCAGUAGACAUCAAAAUUAUAUAUUUUUUUUAAAAAAAGGUAAAUAAAUUUCUUUCAUGCAAGAGCUUAAAAUUGCACGUACAUCUGAUGGCUUAUCAGACAAGUCAAAAGCGGCCGAGGUGGCUUCCGCAUAUUGUCCGUCGUCCACAAGUUCUCUUACUUUAGAUAGAACAGCAGGGGCUUUUGGAUUUGUAUAAUUACCAGGUACACCAGUCCAUAGAGUAUCAACUGCAUAAGCAAUUACACUAUAAAAUCAGCAGCAUUUUACAGGUGAGAGAAAAAAAAAUAUCAACACAGGGCAAAAAGGAUUAAUGACUAAUAUAAAAUAUAGAAAGGAUUAUUGCAUAAUCUUUUUUAAAAAAAGAAAAGGAACAUGCUGAGAAUUACCUAAAGCAUAAAAUACAGAGCCAGCUUGUUUAUCUAAUAAACUAAUAUCCAGUAAUAUUAAUCUUUCUUCAAUCACGAACAAAAAGGUCACUUUUUUUGUCCAAAAUUGAAGGUAAAAGGUUAAAAUGUAUGGAAAGCCUUAAGCCCCUCAAGUACUAUAGACCAGUUUAAAAUAGGCCCUUUUUUUGACACCUGUGAACUUUCAUUUUCUUUUGUCUGAAUCAUUUCAUUAUUACUUGAAUCAGAAAUUUCAUUAAAUUAAUCAGCAAUUUCGUCAAAUUGUUAAUAUUAAUGAUCAAUAGCUAACAAAGUUAUUAAUUUUAACAAAAUUUCUAUCGCGAUUAACUAAAACAACUCAAAACAAAACAAAGUAAGGUUAAGAGAUUCAAUGGUAAAAGAAAAGGAACAAGAGUUGAGGCGCACAUUUCAAAAUACCAUAUAAUUGAAGGGGCCUUUGGGAUCUCCACACUUUUUUUUUUAUUUUUUUUUACCUCGUGGGAUUCGAGCUCACAACAUUCACCUCCGAACUAUACAGUGCGAGACUCUCAAAUCUUCGUCUAACAAAUAUUUAAAAGAGCAAUAGGAAAUCACGAUUAAACAACUCUACUUCAUACAAAUCGAGGUAAAAGGUAGAAAUUUAGAACCACUCACUCCACCAUACUCUAAUAUAAAUAAAUAACAACAACAGCAAAACCUAAAAAACGAACAUCGUUUAAUGUACGCAUCGAAAGAUAAAGAAAAAGCGGGGGGGGAGGGAGGGGGAACUACGAUUGAGCUGGAGCUUCUCGGCGGCGACGCCGCCCCACACCAUGGCGCCGAGUCGCCCAUUCCCGACGGGCGCGGCGUCGGUCCAGUGCUUCGCGGGCUCCGCGAACGCGAUCCUCAGCGGCCGCUCCUCCGCCGCCGCGGCGCCUCCCCACCCCGCCGCCGCCGCCGCCGCGUCCGCGUCGGUGGGGCGCCGCACGAGCACCCACUCCUCCGCCGCGUCGCCGUCGCCGAGCAUUGGGAGGAGGCUAGGGUUUUGGAUCGGGAGGAGAGAGAGGGGGUGAUGGCGACUGUGGGUCACUUGAAGCGAGGGGGCGGUUCGGCAUGGAGAAUGUGAUCACGGGUGCGUAGUGUUUUUUUUUCUUUUUUUUUUGGCCUUUUCGCAGGAGUACCGAGUACGGCCGUAAUAACUGCGCGGUGCCGGUGCUUCCGUUUGUGUGCGCUUCUCCGUCGCGCGAGACAGGUAGUGACACGAAAGGACGUAACAGCGUCGACAUUACGUGAACCCUGUUUACCAUCUCAUCUGUGUGAGUACAGUUUACCUACACUCCCUUAUUUUAAAAGUAGAUUAAUUUUAUACAGGUACUUAUAAAUAUAGAUAUCGUUUGGUUUGGGGAUAAGCAAAAAUUGUUGCUCUAGAAAUAGGCAUAAAUUGAGAUAUAAACAGGAAUUAGAUCAAUUUUGCGUUUGAAUGAAAAUUAGGUUAUUCUUGGGAAUUAAAAAAAAAAGUGUUUGGUUAGGUAAAUGGAAUAAGAAGGAUAGUCGAUUUUAUAAAUAAAAAGUAAUGAUAUUAUCUUUUUAUUAUAUUUGAAUUUGAAUUUUUAAAAUUUUAAAUUUAUAUUUUUAAAGUUAAAAUUUUAAAAUUUGAGAAAUUUGAAAUUUAAAAUCUCAAAUUUUAAAUUCAAAUUUUUAAAUUUU
rnacentral:lncRNA from 1 species